CCCACGCGUCGGCAGCCCCAAACCCCGGCGACCCGAAGCCCUGCACCCCCAAUCCCGGAGAAGCGCCCGCGCCGGCGACUUGCUCUGCGCCCCGACCCCAUUUCCGUCCACGGCAACAUCAAGGCCCCCAACCUGCUCCUCGACCAGACAAUGCACGACCGCGUGGGGAGGACGGCGGAGUCGGGCUCGGAGGGAGGCGAGAUGCAGCUGACCGACCAAGCCAACCACGUUGACGGCUGGCACGGACGGCGGGUGGCGGCAGCAUCGCAACAACAUGGUUGCAGUGCGGAAGCGGCACAACUACGUACAAGAAGAUUAUCAUGGUCGGCUCCUCAUCUCCAACAUCACCAAGGUAACAAUCUACAAAGGGGCCUGCUGCCAUGGCUUGCCUUCCCCAGGGAGUGCUGUGAGGCCGCGCUCCACUUCUUUCGUUCGUGCAGCAGCAGCAGCAGUACAAGCAUACGCACUUCUUCAGUACACAUGCAUGAUGCCUGGGCUUAUCUCUUGCCUUUUUUUAAUUGGCGCUAGGUUGCAUCUUGCCGUGGAAAAGCCUUGAUUGAUUCUGUUUCUGAUGCAUCAAUAAUCUUAAUGUGUUUGUUAACUACAUCGCUCUUGUCUAGGACAAUGUUUACUGUAUUUUGUCAGGCAGUGCAGAUUGUUCAGAUAGGGAAUACACUAUUUCUAUUUGUAUCAGACAAGUACAUUGUAUUGUGUAGUGUGCACUAAUUAUUGGAGCAUCAGGCAAAGCCUUUUGUGUUGAUCACCUCUCUGAAAUUCUACUCUUUUGCUCUGUCUUUGUGCUGGUCAGUUCUCUGAACAUUCUUACACUCAGUGGCUAUCAGUUCCAACUUCCAACACACAGGGAGGCAAUGCAUGGCGCAGACAACCAUUUAGAUCACGCCUACCUAAUUGGCCUACGCUAUGUCCCACACGGUUACCAUUCCAAGAAAUCUUCACAGCUCUCACAUGCUCCAAGUUUAUGAAAUUUAACUUUGCUAUAUGUUCACAAAACAGUUCAGUAUCUGUCAGAGACAUAAUUAGGUUAUAUAUUAAAUGGUAGUUUAGUACACAUAAAUUUGGUCGCGGUUUUGGCGUAAGAAAUUCACAUCAGUUCAAAAUGAGAGACAGUAAAAGUUCGGAGAUAAAUAAUUGAACAUGAAAUGAACUAGUGUGAUUCAAAUUCGGGUGACUAUGUAUUUUCUUAUGCUUACAAGAAUUGUAGCUUCCUUCUUGCUUGCUAAUUGCUAUAGCUUACAAUACUUGGAGCAUUUUUCGGUUGUGAUCUGUACUUUAGGUGCUAACCAAAGAAUAUGCAAGGUUAUUCAGAUUGAGGAUCUUAACUAAUCAUGUUAAUGGUUGCUCUUGCUCCCUGUGCAUUUUCACUCACCGAGAGCGACUACUCCAGAAAAAAAAAACAUGGGAACGUGUUGCCCUCAGUCCUCUCUCGACAAAUCCAGCAGUGCAGGUUCUCCUAUGUGCCAAGUAUUGCCAGCGGCGAAGCCUCCAUCACUGCAGAAAUGCCCGAACUGAAGCCUGUCGGCGAGUCGGGCGUUGGGCCAACCGCUGUCGUCUGUCUACCUCCUUCGCCGGAUUAAUGUGCUACUGACCACGCAAGCUUCCUCAAGGAGCUCGUGUACAACGAUACCGAAAGGAAAAACGGCUCCAGUUUUGAACUUCUUAUUCAGUCAUGCUAUUACUGAGUGAAAAUGGAGUGAAAGUGUAUUGCAAUUGAUCUGUCUUAGACCUUGGCAAUCCUCUAUUUAGCCUGCUUGUUUUUUGGUCUGUAAUUCAAGAACUUUGAGCUUCCUAAUUCGGGUUUUUGUUAAUUUGUUAUGCCUAGAACAAACCGUUAAAUCUGAAGAGGCUUCUAAUAGCAAGAAAAUGUACAGUCAGUGUGUUGUAUGUGCCAUUCAUGUAUGAAAAAUGUGCAGUCGGUGUGGUGCAGAUGUUAUAGCUUC